CCUACGGGGGGCAGCAGUAGGGAAUCUUUCACAAUGGGCGAAAGCCUGAUGGAGCAACGCCGCGUGCAGGAUGAAGGCCUUCGGGUUGUAAACUGCUUUUAUAAGCGAGAAAUAUGAUGGUAACUUAUGAAUAAGGAUCGGCUAACUACGUGCCAGCAGCCGCGGUCAUACGUAGGAUCCGAGCAUUAUCCGGAGUGACUGGGUGUAAAGAGUUGCGUAGGUGGCAUAAUAAGUAGCUAGUGAAAUCUGGUGGCUCAACCAUUCAGACUAUUAGCUAAACUGUUAAGCUCGAGACCGUUAGGGGUAACUGGAAUUUCUAGUGUAGGGGUGAAAUCCGUAGAUAUUAGAAGGAACACCGAUAGCGUAGGCAGGUUGCUGGGACGGUUCUGACACUAAGGCACGAAAGCGUAGGGAGCAAACGGGAUUAGAUACCCGUGUAGUC
rnacentral:rRNA from 1 species